CGGCCGCGGGCGGCAGCACAAGGCGGGCCAGGCCGGGUGAGGGAGCGGACGGCACGUCGCGGGUGGCAUUGUGUGUCCCAGUGUGCAAGAAUAGCCCCAGAAGAGGAAAGGCUGAGCCCAGAGCGCUUCAGCAGGGAAGAUUCCCUUCCCCCCGCUUCAGGCUGCUGAGCACUGAGCGGCGCUCAGAAUGGAAGCCAUCGCCAAAUAUGACUUCAAAGCUACUGCUGACGAUGAGCUGAGCUUCAAGAGGGGGGACAUCCUUAAGUGAUUUUCUUUCUUGUCUUAUUAUUUUCCAGGUUUUGAAUGAAGAGUGUGAUCAGAACUGGUAUAAGGCAGAACUCAAUGGGAAAGAUGGCUUCAUCCCCAAGAAUUACAUAGAAAUGAAACCACAUCC
rnacentral:lncRNA from 1 species